UUGUCCUACGGGACGCAGCAGUCGGGAAUAUUGCGCAAUGGAGGAAACUCUGACGCAGUGACGCCGCGUGCAGGAAGAAGGUUUUCGGAUUGUAAACUGCUUUAGACAGGGAAGAAAAAAGACAGUACCUGUAGAAUAAGCUCCGGCUAACUACGUGCCAGCAGCCGCGGUAAUACGUAGGGAGCGAGCGUUGUCCGGAAUUACUGGGUGUAAAGGGAGCGUAGGCGGGACGGCAAGUCAGAUGUGAAAACUGAGGGCUCAACCUUCAGACUGCAUUUGAAACUGCUGUUCUUGAGUGAAGUAGG
rnacentral:rRNA from 1 species